GGAUUAUAGAGUUGUUGAAGGAGAGGUAGAUAAAGAGCAUGAACAUAACUGCACUCUCAAGUUUCCUCUCAACCACUCUUAGCAUCUUAUGGAGUGUCAGCUUCUUCAAAUUCCUUUUAUUUUUUAAUCCCAAUUUGUCUCUUCAGUUUUACUGUUAUAAAGCCACAUAUGCUCUGCCCUUCUGUAAUUGCUCUAUUUUUGUUUUUCCAUGAUUGCUUGUCGCCUGAAACUUGUGUUGCUUAGUCAUAAUUUCAUUCGUUAGGUUUAGGUUCUAUUAUCCCUUCGAGCUACCGGAAAUGGUUCCAUGGGCCGGACUCUCUUGCUGUUUGAGUGCAGCUGCUCUUUACCUUCUCGGUAGGAGCAGUGGAAGAGAUGCUGAAGUUCUUAAAUCCGUUACAAGGGUUAAUCAAUUGAAGGAUCUUGCACAACUACUAGAUACUGCAUCCAAGGUGUUGCCUCUGGUGGUUACUAUAUCUGGAAGGGUUGGAUCAGAUACACCAAUUAACUGUGAGUACAGUGGUCUACGAGGCGUGAUUGUGGAAGAAACUGCCGAACAACAUUUUCUGAAACACAAUGAUGCAGGUUCUUGGAUACAGGAUUCUGCCUUGAUGCUCUCAAUGUGUAAAGAAGUUCCGUGGUACCUGGAUGAUGGCACAGGUCGCACUUUUAUUGUUGGUGGCCGUGGUGCCACGGGUUUGGUACUGACAGUUGGAAGUGAAGCCUUCGAGGAAGCAGGGAGAUCAUUUGUGCGAGGGACAUUGGAUUAUCUUCAAGGUCUUAAGAUGCUUGGAGUAAAGAGGAUUGAACGUGUGCUGCCAGUU
rnacentral:misc_RNA from 1 species